rnacentral:tRNA from 1 species
GCCCUAGUAGCUUAGCACCAAAAGCGCCGGUCUUGUAAUCCGGAGAUCGAAGGUUAAAAUCCUUCCUAGUGCC